AUUUAGGUUAGCUAACUUUUGCUAAAAGGGGAAAUAAACUGUUAUUUUGUUUUAUUUUAACUCUUAGAAUAUUAGCUAGUUAACUACUUUAUCUACAUGAGUGACUUAAAGCUAUUAAUCUGCCUUUACCUCUCAACAAUUGGCUAGCUAUAGCCAACCUAAAGCGAUUUAGCGUUUAGCUAGCUAGGUAUAGCUAGCUUAGUUAGCUCUUCAACUGUUUUCAGUUAACGUUAUCGUUCAGAAACACACCAGUAAUCGAACAAUAAUUUGUUUUUACAUCUGUCUGCUGCAGAUCAGCUGGAGAGAAGGAGUGAGGAACAGUCAGGAGAGAAAUGGAGGUGAAGAACAGUGAAGAAAAGUGAAGAACAGUGAGGAACAGUUCAGGAAUAAUACAGGAUGAGCUGGAGAAGAGCUGCCUGAGCAGCAGGAGGAAGAAGUUUCCCAGAGAUGGAGGAGGAGGAUGGAGGGAGUGGAGCGCAGGAGAACGGAGAGAUGGAGCAUACACACCUCCACCUCACCUGCCUGCCGGAGAGAUACAUGAGGGCCAAGUUCUCCCUGUCUGCCUACAUCUUCUGCUGGGCUGUAGUUAAACUGUACCAGAGGAGAUUAAGACCGUCUCCGGUUCUGCUACAGGCCCCACCUGUUGAAGAUGUUGAAGCCGCUGAAGCCGGUUGUUCUGAAGCUGGAGGGUUACAGCAGGACGAGAGCUCGGGUCAUCAGGUAUGCACUGAGUCAGUGCUGGACGAAUCACAGGACACCACAGAGGAAUAUUUUGAAACCCGUUCGUGCUACAGCGACACUUUCUCGGACUUCAGCCAUGACGCCGAUGAUUGCUUUCGAACGCCUCUCAGCUCAGACACUGGCUCAUGCACUGGAACGCAUUUGGACUCGCCCAAACACUCGUUUGGCUUCCAGGAGAGGGUCUGUUCUUGUGCAGAAAAGGAACAAGGACCUUCCGAUGGUCCUGAGGCCAAACCAGAUGCUAAGGAUUCUAGUCCUCAGUCAGAUAAUCUUGAAACAUUGGACUCAGUGCCACUGGCAAACGAUUGCAGUGGGAUGACCUUAGAUGCUUCUGUUUCCCAGCUCAACAUACCUGAAAAACUGGACUCUACACCAGUGAUAAACAAUUGCAUUGAUAUAACUUUAGAUGUUUCCCUUCCUCAGUCUAAUCUCACAGAAAAUUUGGACUCUAUAACACGGACAAACGAUUGCAGUGGGACAAGUUUACAUGUUCCCGACCCUGAAUCUAACCUACCAGAAACCUUGGACUCAAUGCCAUUGGCAAGUGAUUGCAGUGGGAUGACUUUAGAUCUUUCCAUUCCUCAGUCCAAUCUCUCAAAAAAAUCUGACUCCAUACCACUAGAAAAUGAUUCCAGUGUGAUGAGCGUAGAUCUUCCUGUUCCUGAGUCCAAUCUCCCAGACAAAUUAGACCCUAUGCCAUUGCCAUAUGAUUGCAUUGGGAUGACUUUAGAUGUUCCUGUUUCCCAUCCCAAUGUCCUAGAAAAAACAGACUCUGUACCACUAACAAACGAUUGCAGAGGGACGGCAUUAGAUGUUACCAUUCCUCAGGCCAAUGUCCUAGAAAAAUCAGACUCUUGCAUUGGUACAACUUUAGAUGUUUCCCUUUCUCAGUCCAACCCCCCUCAAAUAUCGGACUCCAUGUCACUAGAAAACAAUUGCAUUGAUAUAACUUUGGAUGUUUGCCUUCCUCAAUCCAAUCUCAUGGAAAAUUUGGACUCUAUACCACUACAAAAUGAUUUCAGUGGGAUAAGUUUAGAUAUUUCCAACCCUGAAUCUAAUCUACCAGAAAAUUUGGACUCUAUGCCAUUGGCAAACAAUUCUAGUGGGAUGAGUUUAGAUAAUCCCUUUCCUCAGUCCAAUCUCCCAGAUAAAUCAGACCCUAUGCCGUUGACAAAUGAUUGUAGUGGAAUGACUUUAGAUCUUUCCAUUCCUCGGUCCAAUCUCCCAGGAAAAUCUGACUCUACACCACUGGCAAACGAUUGUAGUGGGAUGAGUUUAGAUGUUUCCCUUCCUCAGUUCAAUGUCCCUCAAAUAUCAGACUCUGUCUCACUGGAAAACGAUUGCAUUGGUAUAACUUCAGAUGUUUCCCUUCCUCAGUCCAAUCUCACAGAAAAUUUGGACUCUAUACCACUGACAAACGAUUGCAGUGGGAUGAGUUUAGAUGUUCCCUUUCCUCAGUCCAAUGUCCCAGACAAAUCAGACUCUAUGCAAUUGGCAAAUGAUUCCAGUGGGAUUACUUUAGAUGUUCCCAUUCUUGAGUCCAAUCUUCCAGGAAAACCAGACUGUAUACCACUAAAAAAUGAUUCCAGUGGGAUUAGUUUAGAUAUUUCCAACCCUGAAUCCAAUCUACCAGAAGAUUUGGACUCUAUAACACUGACAAACAAUUGUAGCCGGAUGAGUUUAGAUAUUCCCGACACUGAAUCCAAUCUAUCAGAAAAUUUGGACUCUACAUCAUUGGCAAAUUAUUGCAGUGGGAUGACUUUAGAUCUUUCUGUUACUCAGUCUAAUCUCCCAGAAAAAUUGGACGCUGUGGCAUUAGAAAAGGACUGCAAUGAGAUGACUUUAGAUGUUCCCGUUCCCCAGCCUAACGUCCCUGAAAAAUCAGAGUCUAUGUCAAUGCCAAGUGAUUGCAGUGGGAUAACUUUAGAUUUUCCUGUUUGUCAGUCCAAUGUCCCUGACAAAUCAGACAAUAUAGCACUGACAAAUGAUUGCAGGGGGAUGAUUUUAGAUGUUCCCCUUCUUCAGUCCAAUCUCCCAGAAAAAUUGGACUCUACACCACCGACAAAAGAUUGCAGUGGGAUGAUUUUAGAUGUCCAGUCAAAUGUUUCUGAAAAGCCAGACUCUAAGCCAAUGCCAAUCAAUUGCCGUGGGAUGUCUUUAGAUGCUACAGGCAGUAAUCCAGUUGGUGACUGUACGUAUCUUGUCAGUGCAAAAUUAUCCAGGGAAGCUGGACUUCCUCCUGUCGCACAAGUUUGCAUGACUAACCAGGCGGAAGUCUGUUUUGAAUCAAAUGACUCAACCACAACGCAACUUUUCACAGAGUCCACCUCUCAAGACAUGUUUUUAAAGACUGAUUGUGGACAUGAAGCAGAGCACACGUUAGGUGACACCGUGAGCAGCGAAAAUGAGAAAAAGUCACAAAAUGUUAGCAAUUAUGAAAGUGACACUGAACUGGAGUUGAUUUUGGAUUCUGCACAGGUAAUUUGUUCUGUGACAGACAAAAACAAGUUCCUCCAACAGCAUGAACUGAAUGACCCUGAUGCUGAAACCUUUUUUAAUCAUUUACAUGUACCACGGAUGCUGGAUUUAACAGAUACAAAUGUGAAGGAAACUUCAGAUCAUCUCGUUGAGGUUUGUUCGCAACCCUCACCAGCUGAUGAGCUUGAAUGCAAUCGACGGGAGGACUUUGACUCAUUCAACUCUUCUAAAAAGGGGCACUUAGAACAGGUUACUGACAUUGAUCAAUCUUGUGAGGUAAACAAACUCCUACAACCUUCUGAUAACUGCAUGCUUCAUCCCGAGGAACUACCAUCAUUCAAAAACGAGUGUAUGGCUUGCCAGAAUGAGCAUAGCUUGUUAGAAACUUCUUGCACAAUUAUGGAUGUGGUUCAUUGUUCAACAGAAGGGGGUUCUUCAAGUUUGUCUUUUUCUAAUGAUUGCAUUUUGUCAAAUCUGGCACAUAAAAAUGUUCAUGAUCUGAACAGCCCAGACAACAUGGCCUGCACUGAUCACAGCAAGACUCUGAAUCUGAACUCUAAAUCUGAUAUCAAUCCAGGUUCACACACUAGUUACAGACCUUGUCUAGACUAUAUUGAAACAUCUCGUGAACCUAAAUCAACGGUCAGGGUAAAUUGUCAAGAAAUCAAACAAAACUUUAACGACAAACAAAUUUGCUUUUACAAAGAUGAGAAAGUCAUAGUAGGACCAGGCUCAAUUGCGUUUAGCGGCACUUAUAGCACUGAUUCCUUUAGCACUGAUUCUUUUAGCACUGUUCUAAUCCAGAGGACUGAUCCACACGAGAGCACCCCUAACAUAGAUUGUGCAAAAGAAUUCACGGUCAUCCCACAAAAAUCACAAGAGGUCAUUUAUUCAGACAACUCAGAUUAUGGUGACUCUCACGUGAUGAUGACGUUUACAGGUGAAGAAGUCCAAAAUGUAGAAAGCAUAGAAAGUUUGGGUUCUGUUCAAAGAAAUGAUGUAGAAAACUUUGUAGACCAACUUCUAGAAACUGUACCUGCUCCUGUGAGCCCUACAGACGUCUGCAUUGGAUUCGUUGGUGAACUUUGCACAAACUGUACACAAACAACAACCUGUGAUCUGGCUGAUCUGUCCAUCACAGACGAAGGCAUGCAAAAGAUAAUCGUGUAUCCAAAACAGGGUCACGUUUCAAACGAUGUGUCAAGAAAAGACGUGACCAAACCUGAAGAAUCUAAAAGGACCACAGCAAAAGAGCAUGCAGUUAGCGACGUAAGUGAUGAAAGCAUGGAUUCCUGUGUGCAAGCCCAGUCAGACAGGGAUUAUGAAGUGUUAAGUGCUGAUGCAUCGUUGUUACAUAACAGAGCGACUCCCAGAACAAUAAGGGAUUAUAGUUCAGACACCAACAAUAACAUAAAGACUGUAGCUUUCGAGCACUGCCACAAGACACCAUGCAAUUUACUCAACGCUGCUCUGGAGCUCAACGAGUUUAAGUCUGGGCAAUUGUUCUCAGAACGAGACAAUAAAGACAUUAAUGAUAGAACAAACAAUAUCGUAAAAACUACUAUAACAAAUGCCCCACAGACCCCACCUUGCAAUGUACUUAGUGCUGCUUUAAAGCCCAACAGGUUCCUGGAAGACUCUGGGCAAUUGUUUUUAGAGCGAGAUAUUAUCAACAUAAACAACAGGGCAAACUAUUUUGGAGGGACCACUGCAGAAAUUGCCUCAGAAACACCUUGCACUUUACUUAGUACUGCUUUAGAACCCAGCAGGUUUGAAGGCUUAGAGGAUUGGAGGUCUGGAAGAUUGUUCCCAGAGAGGAACAAUGACCUUAAUGACCUUGGUGACAUCAAUCAUGUUAUCGAUAGGACAGAAUAUAUCAAACAAAUUUCCACAGAAGUUUUCCCAGAGGCUCAUGGCACUUUAUUUGGUGCUUCUUUAGAACCCAAAAGCUUUGAGUCUGGCCAGUGGUUCACAGAUCAGGAAAGAGACAUUAAUGAUAUUAUCGAUAAUAAGACUACUGCAGGUAUUUUCUCUGAGAGUAAAGAUUCUGCUUUAGAACUGAAUAGGUUUGAUUCUGGACAAAUGUACUUAGAGCAAAAUAACAACAUGAACAAUGUUAAUAAUAGGACAAACAGUAUUGUAAAUACUACUUCUACAGCAAUUGCUCCGGAAACCCAAUGCACUUUACAUAGUACCACACUACAGACGUCAUUCUCAGAAGUAAUCCCUCUUUAUGAGUCUCUUGCAUCAAUUUCCUCCAAGAUGCCAUGCACCCCCCUCAGCCCUGUGCCCGAGCAGGAACUUGGCCAGUUUGACUCCUACUCAUUUUCAGGGGAAGACAGUUACUCUGAGGAUAAUGAUGUCCUCCCAGAUUUAGCAAACAGGCCUGGGGUCUCUCAGGAGGCCUCCAAAGCCGACUUGCUGACAGGUAAUAAAAGCGAUAUUGUUAGUCAACUUCAUUCAGAGCCCAGUAUCAGCUCUAGGGACUCUCUAGGCAACUCUGCUCAGAAGCAUAUCUGUGAUUACCUUGCUGAGGAAGAGUGCCAGAUGCACUUCCCUGCAGUAGAGGGAGAUCAGACAGCGGGAGCCUUUCAGCUCAAGGACAUUGACGUCAAGAGCCAGGGCAGUUCCGCCGUGUUGUAUCCCUCUGCCUCCUCACACACAGAUGGCCAGCACAGUCGAGAUUUGCUGAUUGCUGGCAAAUACGGCGAUGUCUCUGAAUGUUCAAGUGUUGUUUCUGGGAAUGGACCUGUGCGUCAAGAGAUUUUUGAUAAGGAAAGUAUGUUGCCUUUGUUGCCUUCGGACUACACAGUCAAGGUCAGCGAUGUUCAGAAAUUAGAAAGCACUAAAAGAAGGUUUGAGAACGGCUGUAAUGAAGAAUCGGCUCAAAUCAGGGAUUCAACAUCCCUAACAGUUGAUGUUGAUCUCUGUUGGGAAACUGCCUCUCCAGAAGAAUCUCCACAACUGAUGAGUGCAGAGAUAGAGGUAUAUCCAUUCACGGACGUCAAGCUUGGGAUGUUGUCGAUCACUAAUUUAGAGCCCAUUAUAGAAGCGGAUCAGCCUCAAGAAAGUUUCUGUGAAGCAGAUAAAGAAAGUGUCUCAGAAGUAGAACAGGAAAAAGAUGUACCUGGAUUUGACGACUCAAAUGUCAGUGCAGAUACCUUUUGUCACUUGUCUCACAAUAAUGGUUACAACCCGCAAAAGGAGGAUGACAAUGAAGAGCUUACAGGUGUACCCGCAAAUUCUUCAGGGGUCAAAAGAGUUUGCUUUGUUACCGACAAUCCCGAAGAUUGUCGAGACGAAAGGACCGUCUCCUCUUUAGCAACUGGGAAUGCUGGAACUGGGGAUAACGAUAUUGUCAAAACUGUGCUUCCAGACAUCAGUCUGCACAGUGAUGAUGUAGAAGAUAGCAUUCAAUCUCACACAGGAACCAAUUGCUGUGCUCAAAGCACAACAAAGAACAAGGAGACCAAGAGCACCUCAGCAGCAGGGAAAGCAUCACGGUUUUCCAUGUUCUCUCGAAUACCUUCGUUCCGCAAAGCCAAGAGAGAUGCUAAGGGUGGUAACAAGGUUGAACCCGAGGCCAAACCGCCUCCACAGGAUGUCAAUGAAGAAAAGAAAAAGGAGGAACACUCUCCCAGUUCCCCUAAACCCCUCCACAAAGCCCAUAUGUCUCACAGUACAGAGCACUUGCUGAAGUUCAGCGAUCACACCAAUGACGACAUCUUCGAGAAAGCCUUCGCCCUGACCUGGGAAAACAUGGAGAAAUGUGGAGAAUCCACAUCUGCUUCCAGAUCCAAGCAGACAAGGCAGCACAGCAGACAUGGCGACCUCCUGCACUUUAAGCCCUCGCCCAUGAUGGAAGGGUUCAACCAGAAGAGGAGCAAGAGCAUUGAUAACCUAAAUUUGCGACUGAAGCUAGCCAUGGCUCACAAAUCGCUGUCAAACUUGUUUGAGACUCGCUUUGGUGAGAAGGAGAACCAGCAGAUACAAAAUGACGACCCUAAGGUCAAAAGAAAAGUAAAGACAGGUAAAGAGGAAUCUGAGGGACUCAAAAGGACUUUUUCCGUUCCUGCAUCAAUCAGUUCAAGGACAAGACGUCGCACCCAGGGUGACAUUGUCGCUGGUUUGGCUCAGGAUGGACUUUAUUUCAAGGACAGAAAUUUGAAAGACACCUGGAACUCUGAUCCACUUUGCAAAAAGACUUCAUCACUCCAAGACACCUCAGGGAUCGAACCUGAUGUGGAGUCUGAUGAACCCAGCCCAGUGACUAACGGACUCUCUCCAGACUCGGAUCUUACGUCGGAAGAUGACGACAGCUUUCAAGCUCCUAUUCACCGAACUGUUUUUGCACUUGCUAAUCAGCUGUCUCCAUCCUGGGCCAGAUCUCUGGGAUCUUUUGAAGGCAUCGAUACGCCAAUGAGGCCAAUGAGUCCCAAACCUCAAAGCCCUGGACAGUGGACUCACCGCAGGAGCUUCCGCUACCCAUCGAGGUCCGUAGCCUCUUCGCUCUGCUCUCUGGGUCAAGACCAGAGUAUGGAGGGCAUCUCGGAUCUCCCAACGAGGACCCAGUCUUUCAGACCCAGAGUUCCACCAAUGGCAUCGUCCCAUUCCUUCGACGCUGAGUUCUUACUGGAGGACAGCAGUUCGGACAGUCAGUCCCAAACCAGCCUGGUUUCAUCCAACUCUGGCAACGAACCCGAGCAUGCGCAGGACGGCGGCAGGGCGGCGGGUACCCCGCGAACGUCCUGCAUGCCACGCAUGAGGAGGCACAGAGGACCGCGAGCUCCGAGACCCGUCUCAGACCUGUGCGGAUGGACGUCUCAGCUGAGGGACAUCGGAGAAGUAGCACCGGACCCACCGACCCAACAGGACAUCACCAAGACCCAGCAAGACGUCACCAGGACCCAGCAGCGCUCCUGCUCUGACGAGACGCUGUCAGACUCGGGAAAGACCAAGAAGAUCCAGAAGAUAAAACAGAGUUUACAGAGGAGUCUGGGACAGCUUACCUCCACACAUCCCGACCAGAACCAGACAGUAAGGAUCUCGCCAAAACCGGAACCGGCGGUUCUCCUACCUCAGCUCUUCAGGAACUUCCUCCUUUUAUCCUCUUUUACUUCUUUGAUCUUUUCUUCACUUCCUGCCUGGCAUCUUUCUGGACCAGCAUGCUUCCUUUUCUGACUUGUAGUUCUUUUUUUCAUGGACUGUUUUAUGACUUUCUUUCAUCUGUUUCUGCUUUUACACAAAAAACUAAUCAACUAAUCAACCUCAGUAGUGAUGUUCUAAUCUUACAUUUACCUGAGUAGUGCUAUUCUAAUCUUAUAUUUAACAUCAGUGCUUUUUUAAUAAUUAUACUCAUGCAUUACCUAAGCAGUGCUAUUCUAAUCACACAUUUAACUCAGUAUUGCUAUUCUAGUCAUACAUUUACC
ensembl:lncRNA